rnacentral:rRNA from 1 species
CUACGGGCUGCUCCAGUGGGGAAUAUUGGACAAUGGGGGAAACCCUGAUCCAGCAACGCCGCGUGAGUGAUGAAGGCCUUCGGGUCGUAAAGCUCUGUUGUGGGGGAAGAAACUGUACGAGUAACUUCGUACACUGACGUUACCCCAUGAGGAAGCACCGGCUAACUCUGUGCCAGCAGCCGCGGUAAUACAGAGGGUGCAAGUGUUGUUCGGAAUUAUUGGGCGUAAAGGGCGCGUAGGCGGCCAAAUAUGUCAGAUGUGAAAUCCCUGGGCUUAACCCAGGAACUGCAUCCGAUACUGUCUAGCUUGAGUACAGGAGAGGAGAGUGGAAUUCCACAUGUAGCGGUGAUAUGCGUAGAGAUGCGGAGGAACACCAGUGGCGAAGGCGACUUUCUGGACCAAUACUGACACUGAGGUGCGAAAGCGUGGGGAGCAAACAGGAUUAGAUACCCCUGUAGUC